AUUGAACGCUGGCGGCAGGCCUAACACAUGCAAGUCGAGCGGAUGACGGGAGCUUGCUCCUUGAUUCAGCGGCGGACGGGUGAGUAAUGCCUAGGAAUCUGCCUGGUAGUGGGGGACAACGUUUCGAAAGGAACGCUAAUACCGCAUACGUCCUACGGGAGAAAGCAGGGGACCUUCGGGCCUUGCGCUAUCAGAUGAGCCUAGGUCGGAUUAGCUAGUUGGUGGGGUAAUGGCUCACCAAGGCGACGAUCCGUAACUGGUCUGAGAGGAUGGGCAGUCACACUGGAACUGAGACACGGUCCAGACUCCUACGGGAGGCAGCAGGGGGGAAUAUUGGACAAUGGGCGAAAGCCUGAUCCAGCCAUGCCGCGUGUGUGAAGAAGGUCUUCGGAUUGUAAAGCACUUUAAGUUGGGAGGAAGGGCAGUAAGUUAAUACCUUGCUGUUUUGACGUUACCGACAGAAUAAGCACCGGCUAACUCUGUGCCAGCCGCCGCGGUAA
rnacentral:rRNA from 1 species